GUGGGGAAUCUUCCGCAAUGGACGAAAGUCUGACGGAGCAACGCCGCGUGAGUGAAGAAGGUUUUCGGAUCGUAAAGCUCUUUCGUUAGGGACGAACGUGCUCUUUGUGAAUAAUGAGGAGUAAUGACGGUACCUAAAUAAGAAGCCACGGCUAACUACGUGCCAGCAGCCGCGGUAAUACGUAGGUGGCAAGCGUUGUCCGGAAUUAUUGGGCGUAAAGCGCGCGCAGGCGGGAUAUCAAGUCUGUCUUAAAAGUGCGAGGCUAAACCUCGUGAGGGGACAGAAACUGGUAUUCUUGAGUGUCGGAGAGGAAAGUGGAAUUCCAAGUGUAGCGGUGAAAUGCGUAGAGAUUUGGAAGAACACCAGUGGCGAAGGCGACUUUCUGGACGAUGUCUGACGCUGAGGCGCGAAAGCUAGGGGAGCGAACGGGAUUAGAAACCCCAGUAGUCC
rnacentral:rRNA from 1 species